rnacentral:lncRNA from 1 species
CUCCUGUAUGUUUACAAAAUUUACUAAAAAUUAAACACACUAAAUAUUCUUUUAGAUACAGUAAUAUUUUGGAUAUACCACAGGUAAGAACUACCUCAUAUGGAAAAAAAUCUUUUAGUUUUGCUGCUGCUUCUUUAUGGAAUAGCUUACCAGACCACUUCAGGACUGUUAACAGCUUCUCACAUUUUAAGAGUCUUGUUCAGUCCUGGAGUGGAACAGAAUGUUUUUGCUCUGCCUGUAGAUAACUUUGUGUUACAAUAUUUAUGCUUUUUAUGCUGCAUUAACAGCUUGCUUUGCAACUGAAAUUUUGUUUUUUUUUUACUUUUUAAAAUUUGAAAGAUUUGAAAUUUUUACUUUAUAAAUCAUAAAUUAUUUAAA